GCUCCUUCGGGAGUUAGUACAGCGGCGGACGGGUGAGUAACGCGUGGGAAUCUGCCCUUUAGUGAGGAAUACCCUCGAGAAAUCGGGGUUAAUACUGCAUAAGUCUCUUACGAGAGAAAGCUGGCCUCUUUGCUGGCGCUAAAGGAUGAGCCUACGUACUAUUAGCUAGUUGGUGGGGUAAUGGCCUACCAAGGCGAUGAUGGUUAGCCGGCCUGAGAGGGCGUACGGCCACACUGGAACUUAGACACGGUCCAGACUCCUACGGGAGGCAGCAGUGGGGAAUAUUGCGCAAUGGGCGAAAGCCUGACGCAGCGACGCCGCGUGGAGGAUGAAGGUCUUCGGAUUGUAAACUUCUGUUAAGUGGGAAGAAAGACCUGUUUUUAAUAGAAACGGGGGAUGACGGUACCAUUAGAGAAAGCACCGGCUAAACUCGUGCCAGCAGCCGCGGUAAUACGAGUGGUGCAAGCGUUAUUCGGAAUCAUUGGGCGUAAAGGGUGUGUAGACGGCAUGUUAAGUCAAUUGUUAAAUUCUCCGGCCUAACCGGAGGUCAGCAGUAGAUACUGGUGUGCUAGAGGGUGGAAGAGAGAAGUGGAAUUCUCGGAGUAGCGGUAAAAUGCGUAGAUCUCGAGAGGAACACCAAUGGCGAAGGCAGCUUCUUGGUCCAUUUCUGACGUUGAAACACGAAAGCGUGGGGAGCAAACAGGAUUAGAUACCCUGGUAGUCCACGCUGUAAACGAUGAUCACUAGACGUUAGUUCUGUUUUUACGGAAUUAGUGUCGCAGCUAACGCGUUAAGUGAUCCGCCUGGGAAUUACGGUCGCAAGAUUAAAACUC
rnacentral:rRNA from 1 species